UGAAAGAGCUCGACUGAGAAGGACUUGUGGGAUCAGCUGUAUCCGACGAGGGUUGAAGACGGUCCGGCAAAAAGGGAGAAGGAAAAGCGUAAAAUAUGCUGAUUUUACGUGCGAAUAACAUCGUCCUUAGAAAUGGGUGUCUGGCUAGCACGGCUUUGUCAUCACGUCUGUGCCACCAUGAUGCAGGACUCAAUACAGAGUGGGCUGCCCUGGCCAAGAAACAGCUAAAAGGAGCCGACCCAGCUAAGAAACUCAUGUGGCAGACACCAGAAGGCAUUACUAUCAAACCUCUUUACACAGCUGAAGAUGUUGGAGAGCAUGCAACAGAAUUACCAGGGAAAUUCCCUUAUACACGAGGUCCCUACCCAACCAUGUACGCAAAUCGACCCUGGACAAUCAGACAGUACGCAGGUUUCAGCACAGUCGAGGAGAGCAACAAGUUCUAUCGGCAAAAUAUCAAAGCUGGGCAGCAGGGUCUCUCUGUAGCCUUCGAUCUCGCAACACAUAGAGGGUAUGAUUCAGACAAUCCUAGAGUCCAUGGAGAUGUGGGCAUGGCAGGUGUUGCUAUUGACUCGGUAGAAGACAUGAAAGUCCUCUUUGAUGGUAUUCCACUGGACAAGAUGUCGGUCUCAAUGACAAUGAAUGGCGCUGUCAUUCCAACAAUGGCUAUGUUUAUUGUAGCAGCGGAAGAACAGGGUGUGAAACAAGAACAGCUGUCAGGUACGAUUCAGAAUGACAUCCUCAAAGAGUUCAUGGUUCGCAACACUUACAUCUACCCACCUGAGUCAUCAAUGAGGAUCAUCGGAGACAUUUUUGGUUAUACAGCCAAGCACAUGCCAAAGUUCAACAGCAUCAGCAUCAGUGGUUAUCAUAUGCAAGAGGCAGGGGCAAAUGCUGUGCUGGAGAUGGCUUUUACCAUUGCUGACGGUCUGGAAUACUGCCGAACGGGACUUUCUGCCGGGCUGAACAUCGAUCAGUUUGCCCCUCGACUCUCAUUCUUCUGGGGUGUUGGCAUGAACUUCUACAUGGAAAUAGCGAAAAUGAGAGCUGCUCGUCGCCUCUGGGCUCACCUAAUUGAAAGCAACUUUUCACCCAAGAACAACAAGUCCACAAUGUUGAGAACUCACAGCCAGACAUCUGGGUGGUCCUUGACUGAACAGGACCCCUACAACAACAUCAUCCGCACAACUAUCGAGGCCAUGGCAGCAGUCUUCGGGGGAACACAAUCUCUCCACACAAACUCCUUUGAUGAAGCUCUGGGUCUCCCAACAGUCUUCUCCGCCCGCAUUGCUCGUAACACCCAAAUCAUCCUUCAGGAGGAAACUGGUAUUCCAAAGAUAAUUGAUCCAUGGGCUGGAUCAUAUGCUAUGGAGGCACUUACCAAUGAGGUUUAUGACUCAGCUAAGGAAAUUAUUGAUGAGGUUGAGUCGAUGGGUGGCAUGGCCAAGGCUGUUGGUUCAGGUUGGGCUAAACUGAAGAUCGAGGAAUGUGCUGCUAAACGACAGGCUAUGAUUGACAGUGGAAAAGAGGUAAUUGUGGGAGUCAAUAAGUAUCGUCUGGAAAAAGAAGAAACAAUUGAUGUCCUGAUGAUUGAUAACAAUGAAGUUCGCACAAAACAAAUUAACAAGUUGAAAGAGCUCAGAGAAAAGCGUGACCCACAAAAAACGGCAGCAGCUCUGAGUGCCUUAGAGGAAGCUGCGCGUGGCAGUGGAAACCUCCUGGAAGCAGCAGUUGCAGCAGCAAGGGUCAGGGCCACCCUUGGUGAAAUAUCUCAAGCCAUGGAGAAGGUGUUUGGUCGUCACAUUGCCUCUGACCGACUGGUCUCAGGGGCUUAUAAGACGGAGUAUGGGGAGCAGCAGGAAUUAGCAGCAGUAACUGAAAAGAUUGAAGGAAUUUGUUGAGAAUGAAGGUCGUCGGCCCAGAAUCCUCGUUGCCAAGAUGGGUCAGGAUGGACACGACCGUGGGGCGAAGGUCAUUGCAACAGGAUUUGCAGAUUUAGGAUUCGAUGUUGAUGUGGGACCCCUUUUCCAGACUCCGGCAGAAGUGGCCCAGCAGGCUAUAGACGCCGACGUGCACGUGGUAGGGGCCUCGUCCUUGGCAGCAGGUCACCGCACGCUCGUCCCGGAGUUGGUGAAGGCCCUGGCUGACCUGGGUCGACCUGACAUCCUGGUCAUCGCGGGCGGAGUCAUCCCUCCCCAGGACUACGAUUUCCUCAGAGAAGCUGGAGUGGCUGCUAUUUUCGGGCCAGGCACACGAAUUCCCGUAGCUGCUCUGGAUGUGCUUGACCUUAUCACAGUGUCUUUGAAGAAGCGAGAGGCAGUGAAUUAACCCGAUGAUUAGCAUUUUAUUAAUAUGAUUCAUUAGAUUAAAACCUAGGGCAUUUUUGUCUUUUCUAUUUGGCAAGGUCUGUAACUUUAGGGUGAUUCCUGAAACGUAUAUAGUCUUUUUUAUUGAAAAUUUGAUGUAUAUUUGUAUAGCUUCAGUUUGGUUGGGAUUUUUUUUAUUAUAUUUUCAGUAGGACUGUAUUGCCACAUAGGGAAGUAGAUGGUUGUAAUAAAUAAGAUAGGUAGAUUAUUCUUUUUGGCAAAAAAUUCGUUUAUUUCACUUACAUUUGUUAGGAGGUAUGUAUCUAACAUAUUUUUGUUGUAUAUGUAUGUAUAUUGAGGUAGAUUAUAGACAUAUAUUAAAAGUUAUUUUGAAUUGCA
rnacentral:misc_RNA from 1 species